CCAGCACAGAGUCUUGCUGCGCAGUCACUCAAGCAAACGGCAGCAAAUGCAAACGCUCCAACGGCCAAAGCAAAUGAGACCCAUGAAGACGCCCCCGCCCCACAUGCUGGCGCCCCCCCAGGCACGGAGGUCUCGGGGUCAUCACUCACCAGCGAAGCCUCCGCACUCCAGAAGAAACAACAGGAGGAACGUGGGUGUUCUUCAAGGACGGCUCAACUAUGAGCGAAACUGUCAUCUUGCAUAGGUGGCCACGUAGGUGGCCAUAACCCCACAUCCCUUCACUGACACAUGGAAUAACACACUCAGAGUGCCCCGUACGGAUCUUUAGACUGAAUCCCUAAGAUUUCACAAGGAAGAAUGAAACACAGCUGAAGGAAUUCUGGCAUUGAAAUGAAUUUGAUGUGGCUGUAUCUAACGCCAUGUUCGCUUGGGAAAAUAUACUGCCUCUACUGCAGUACAAUUAAUAAGAGUUUAAUGAUGAAACACUGGAAAUAUAUCACAGUUUUAUCUCUCUCUGAUCUUCCUCUAGCCCACGCCGUCCAUGUCCAACUUAUUGAAGAGCAUUGAGAUAACUGGCUUUGAAUCAUCAGACAGGUCACUCUGGAGAGCGGCUUAAAGUCUUUGCACCUCUUUCACAAAGAGCUCCUGGCAUCUAGCAGGCAGCAGCCAGUGAUGCUCCUAAAACCCUGCAAUACACAAGACGGUGCCCAUGAAGAGGAAUUAUGCAGCCCGGACGUCAGGAGAGCUGAGGGUGAGAAGCCCUGCUGUGGAGGGGACUCGCACGACAUUUGUCUUCCCCACACCAGGAGAGGGAGGAGUGAGGGCAAGACGGUGUCUGCUUUGCUCGCCUGCAGAGUCGGCCCUCGAGAAAAGUGGCAUAUUGAAAAGGGCCCUGCACUCUGUCGCUGAUCUGUGUGAUGCCAGACUCUGUGGGGCCCAGCUUCCUCAUCCUGAAAUGCAGAAUAGUCAAGCCCACUUCCAGGGUGAGUGGACAGUUCCACGAUGCACGUGGAAUAUGAGAAAUGCACAAAUAUCCACUUCCCCUCUCAAGUGGCGAUGACAUGUGAGCUAAAAGCCCUGCCACAAUUCUAUUCUUCCAGCUCAGCCCUGAGAUGUCCUGUUAGCAAUGAUUUAUUCACCUCAAAUUUCAACAUCCAGUUUCAUUACCAUCAAAUUUAA